rnacentral:misc_RNA from 1 species
GUUCAUCCAUUGGAUUUGACCAUCGAUCUGAAAAGGCUGACUCUAGCAACAGAAGGUCAGGACCAUUGGGCAUUAGCACGCAGUUGCCUUCAAGAAUCAUGGUAUGCUCAUUCUUAUCCUUUCUUUUUCCAAUUUGCGGCAUUCUUGAUGCGUAAUGUAUCUUGAUUGGUACUUGAUUGAUGCAUUCUUUGGCUUAAAAUUUUCUGCUUCUAUUAUAGGCUUGGAAUUUCUCAAUGUAAGUGGAAAUGGAUAGGGGAAAUUGUAGAAAAUUCUUGAGGUUUGACUAAUUAUACAUUUUGGUCCUCCCAUUUUUUUAAUAUUCCAUACUUUAAUAAGUUAGUUAAGAGAUCAAAAUAUUGGUCCUGUAUUGGCUUAAAGUGCACCAAGAAUGGUCCAAAGCAGUGUAUUUUGAAAUGCUAUUUAGGACUUUACAAGCAGGAAUGCCUGCACUCUGCUGCAGGCAUGUUCUAGCAUGUAAACAUCUUUGUUUCUCUCCAUCUCUCAGUGCUUGAUAAUGUUUAGUAGUACAUGAAAAUAUGAGACUUAAUUCAAAAUUGGCAAUUCUCUUGUUCUUCUCCCCUUAAAUUUAGUUUAUGUGAAGUUGAACUUGUUAUUAGUUGUAUAACAAACUCGAUUACCUGCGCUUUGCGGCGGGUUGACAUAACAUUCCUCUUCAGCUCUAUUUUUCAUUAAAAUUUCAUAUAAAUAAAUUCUUAACUUUAUAUGAAAGCCUCCUUAUAAUGAAUCAAUUUUGAAUGAUUACGCUUUAUUUUUUUAUUAAUAUACUACUGUUAUGUUUCAUUAUGCUUUUCUUUCUAGUAAUGUUUU